rnacentral:lncRNA from 1 species
AAAACUAAGGGUACAGAUAUAGUUAUAAUUAAUCUCAAUAUACUCAUCAAACUUCGUUCAAAAAACAGGUAAAAAAAAUAAAGAGGGUAAAAUCCAUUUGGUCAUCACUGAUGUAUAUGAAUCUGUAAUGGACGGAUUUCUAUACCACCUCACCUUAAACUAAAAAAGAAAAUAAAAAGUAGCUUCGUAACUUUUGAAAUUAAAGAUCUAGCUGUUGUGGUCAACAGUGUGACUUGUUCCGCCCCCGUCCCGGGUUCGACCCUCUAUGUGCACGCCUGUCACCCCCGCGGUGCCUUACCUGCUCCUGGGCUUGCAGAAUGUCCAGUGGGCCGUGGGGAAUAGUCGUGGUGCGCGUAAGCUGGCCCGGACACCCCACGUAAAUCAAAAAAAAAUAAAAAAAUAAAAAUAAAAAAAAAAUAAAAAGUAGCUUCGUAACUUUUGAAAUUAAACAGGUACACCAGUAUCAGCUGUUACGCACAUGGUAUAUAUUUUCCUUGAUAUCCUUUUUGACUCAAGUUGAGGAUUUUCGUUGAUAGAACAAUUCUG